CCCUUAGAUGUUCUGGGCCGCACGCGCGCUACACUGACGAAUGCAACGAGCUUAUAACCUUGGCCGAAAGGUCUGGGUAAUCUCCAAAUUUCGUCGUGAUGGGGAUAGAUUAUUGCAAUUAUUAAUCUUCAACGAGGAAUGCCUAGUAAGCGCAAGUCAUCAGCUUGCGUUGAUUACGUCCCUGCCCUUUGUACACACCGCCCGUCGCUCCUACCGAUUGAACGUUCCGAUGAAUACCAUGGAUUGAGAGUCUGAAUGGGUUCGCCUAUUUCUGCUUCUCGAGAAGUGGAGUAAAUCUUAGCGUUUAGAGGAAGGAGAAGGCGUAACA
rnacentral:rRNA from 1 species